CCCAGUGGUCUAGUGGUUAGGACUCAGCAUUUUCACUGCUGUGGCCUGGGUUCAGUCCCUGGUCUGGGA
rnacentral:tRNA from 1 species